rnacentral:rRNA from 1 species
AGGACGAACGCUGGCGGCGUGCCUAACACAUGCAAGUGGAGCGACGAACCAGGCUUCGGCCUGGGGCAGAGCCGCGAACGGGUGAGUAACACGUGAGUAACCUGCCCUUGACUCUGGGAUAAGCGUUGGAAACGACGUCUAAUACCGGAUACGACCUCCGAAGGCAUCUUCUGGAGGUGGAAAGAAUUUCGGUCAAGGAUGGACUCGCGGCCUAUCAGCUAGUUGGUGAGGUAAUGGCCCACCAAGGCGACGACGGGUAGCCGGCCUGAGAGGGUGACCGGCCACACUGGGACUGAGACACGGCCCAGACUCCUACGGGAGGCAGCAGUGGGGGAAUAUUGCACAAUGGGCGCAAGCCUGAUGCAGCAACGCCGCGUGAGGGACGACGGCCUUCGGGUUGUAAACCUCUUUUACGUAGGGAAGAAGCGAUGUGCUUGUCACAUCAUGACGGUACCUGCAGAAAAGCACCGGCUAACUACGUGCCAGCAGCCGCGGUAAUC